AAGAAGAGGAUGAAGGGGCCAAAGUAGCAAGCAAAGACCCAACUGGAUAUGGAGCAACUGGCAUAUCAAUGAGAGAUGAUGCUGAUGGACUAUAUCUCAUUGAUCCCAUUGGGUGAUCAAAUUUGCAUGUGGCUCCAAAUUUGCAGUUCCCAUUUCGCAAGUAGAAGGUACAAGGCUGAACUCCUGGACGUAAAGGAAGACCAAGCGGGCUGAGGACACAAUUUGUUCUUGGCAUAACCCGAUCCCGAGGGUGAUGAUAUCUACAAGAUGAUCCAAAUUUACAGUCUCCAGUCCUCAGGUAGUACUGGCACUCAGGUUCUCCAGGUCUCUCUGGAAAAGGUUGUUCCUUCUGGAUACCAAUUGAAAGGCCAGCAGCAGAAGAGGGUGAGGGAUAAGGUCCGGCUGCAGGUGCUGAAGAAGAUAAUUGUGUUAUGCCAUACAGAGAAGUUGCCCCAACCGCUGGCUGUGCACCAGGAGAAGGAACAGGACUUACAGGUGCCGAGUAAGGACUCCAACCAGGAAAAGGAACCACUCCAGGGGGAAACAGCACAGGACCAUAAGCCCCUUGCACAUAUG
rnacentral:misc_RNA from 1 species